rnacentral:tRNA from 2 species
GGAGGAAUGGCCGAGUGGUCAAUGGCAGCAGACUGUAAAUCUGCCCGCGUGAGCGUACGAAGGUUCGAAUCCUUCUUCCUCCACCA